UAGAAAAGAGCACCGCAUUUCCAACUCCACCGCCAACUAGCAUUGUAUUUUUCAUGUUAUUAACCUUCCUAUUAUUAGCUUACUUAUAUUCUUAGCCAAUCUCAAGUGUAUUUUACAUAACAAGCUUCGCGUUGUACAAUAGUUUAAAUUUAAUCUGAUGUGUGAAUAAAGCAAGAUAAAAUAUGAGCAAAUUUUACGGGAAGCAGCUCACCUCUGCGACUAAAAUGCAUUGGAAAGGAAACUAAUUAUAAAGCUUUGAGCUUACAUAUUAUUCAUAUAAAUAAGCUUAAA